AUUGAACGCUGGCGGCAUGCCUUACGCAUGCAAGUCGAACGGCAGCGGACCUUCGGGUGCCGGCGAGUGGCGAACGGGUGAGUAAUAUAUCGGAACGUACCUUUCAGUGGGGGAUAACGUAGCGAAAGUUACGCUAAUACCGCAUAUUCUGUGAGCAGGAAAGCAGGGGAUCGCAAGACCUUGCGCUGAUUGAGCGGCCGAUAUCAGAUUAGCUAGUUGGUGAGGUAAAGGCUCACCAAGGCGACGAUCUGUAGCGGGUCUGAGAGGAUGAUCCGCCACACUGGAACUGAGACACGGUCCAGACUCCUACGGGAGGCAGCAGUGGGGAAUUUUGGACAAUGGGCGCAAGCCUGAUCCAGCCAUGCCGCGUGAGUGAAGAAGGCCUUCGGGUUGUAAAGCUCUUUCGGCCGGGAAGAAAUCGCACAGGUUAAUACCCUGUGUGGAUGACGGUACCGGAAUAAGAAGCACCGGCUAACUACGUG
rnacentral:rRNA from 1 species